GCACAUUAUCGUUAUCGGCAAAGGGAGGAUAUACAUUUGGGAAUGCUUGGGCUGGGCCGCGCUUAUUUCUGCAUGAUCGCUGAAACAUUGCUCAUAUACACGAUAUCUUCUUUCUUCUUGUCUUCAUCGAGCAUCAUCUUGCGAUUGUCUGGAACGAUCAUUCUGAAAGCCUGCCGAAUUGUCUCGCGCAAAGAGGGACACUCGAGUCUCCGGAUCUUAGACGAAGCGUGUGUGGACUGGGAAAUUUGAAAAGGAACCAUUUUCAUUUUAUUAUCCUCCCUAUCUUUUCUCCAAGUCGGAAUGGAACGUUUCGUGUCCGAUAGAAAUUCGUGGGAGAUAUCGAGGAGCUGUAACUUUCUGCAAAAUGUAGUCCUACGCGGUAACGUCCCUUCGAUAAUACUCUCGGAGAAACUUUGAAAUCCCGUCGCUUCUCUCCUCCCCGGAGAGGUAGGAAAAUCGUAACGAGCCGUCGUCUUUAAACGUGAAAAUAAGGUCGCGCGCGUCAAACGUACGUACGCGAGCGCGCGAGAAAAAUUCCCCGAGCCGGGAAACUCGCGGCGGAUAUUAGGUAGAGGCAAAAAACGAGGCGAGAAACGGAGAGACUCCGAGGAGAAGUUGCCGUAAAAGCGACCGCGACGCGAUAUUUCCAACGGAAUCCUUCGCAUAGGGGAAAAGAGAGAAAUAGAGGAUAACGUGAAACAGAAAUAGAGAGA